rnacentral:rRNA from 1 species
UACAGAGGUGGCAAGCGUUGUUCGGAAUUACUGGGCGUAAAGGGCGCGUAGGCGGCCUUCUAAGUCAGACGUGAAAUCCCCCGGCUUAACCUGGGAACUGCGUCUGAUACUGGCGGGCUUGAAUCCGGGAGAGGGAUGUGGAAUUCCAGGUGUAGCGGUGAAAUGCGUAGAUAUCUGGAGGAACACCGGUGGCGAAGGCGGCAUCCUGGACCGGUAUUGACGCUGAGGCGCGAAAGCUAGGGGAGCAAACGGG